UUGNGGAGUGGGCUUCCGGAGNUAACGCGUUAAGUNGACCGCUGGGGAGUACGGCCGCAAGGUUAAAACUCAAAUGAAUUGACGGGGGCCCGCACAAGCGGUGGAGCAUNNGGUUUAAUUNGAUGCAACGCGAAGAACCUUACCUACUCUUGACAUCCNNAGAACUUNGCAGAGAUGCUUNNGUGCCUUCGGGAACUCUGAGACAGGUGCUGCAUGGCUGUCGUCAGCUCGUGUUGUGAAAUGUUGGGUUAAGUCCCGCAACGAGCGCAACCCUUAUCCUUUGUUGCCAGCGAUUCGGUCGGGAACUCAAAGGAGACUGCCGGUGAUAAACCGGAGGAAGGUGGGGAUGACGUCAAGUCAUCAUGGCCCUUACGAGUAGGGCUACACACGUGCUACAAUGGCGCAUACAAAGAGAAGCGACCUCGCGAGAGCAAGCGGACCUCAUAAAGUGCGUCGUAGUCCGGAUCGGAGUCUGCAACUCGACUCCGUGAAGUCGGAAUCGCUAGUAAUCGUGGAUCAGAAUGCCACGGUGAAUACGUUCCCGGGCCUUGUACACACCGCCCGUCACACCAUGGGAGUGGGUUGCAAAAGAAGU
rnacentral:rRNA from 1 species